UNUUAAAAGUUCGGGGCUUAACCCCGUGAUGGGAUGGAAACUGCCAAUCUAGAGUAUNGGAGAGGAAAGUGGAAUUCCUAGUGUAGCGGUGAAAUGCGUAGAUAUUAGGAAGAACACCAGUGGCGAAGGCGACUUUCUGGACGAAAACUGACGCUGAGGCGCGAAAGCCAGGGGAGCGAACGGGAUUAGAUGCCCCGGUAGUCCUGGCCGUAAACGAUGGGUACUAGGUGUAGGAGGUAUCGACCCCUUCUGUGCCGGAGUUAACGCAAUAAGUACCCCGCCUGGGGAGUACGACCGCAAGGUUGAAACUCAAAGGAAUUAACGGGGGCCCGCGCAAGCGGUGGAGUAUGUGGUUUAAUUCGACGCAACGCGAAGAACCUUACCAGGUCUUGACAUUGAUGGACAGAACCAGAGAUGGUUCCUCUUCUUCGGAAGCCAGAAAACAGGUGGUGCACGGUUGUCGUCAGCUCGUGUCGUGAGAUGUUGGGUUAAGUCCCGCAACGAGCGCAACCCCUAUCUUAUGUUGCCAGCACUUCGGGUGGGGACUCAUGAGAGACUGCCGCAGACAAUGCGGAGGAAGGCGGGGGUGACGUCAAAUCAUCAUGCCCCUUAUGACCUGGGCUACACACGUACUACAAUGGGAGUUAAUAGACGGAAGCGAGAUCGCGAGAUGGAGCAAACCCGAGAAACACUCUCUCAGUUCGGAUCGUAGGCUGCAACUCGCCUACGUGAAGUCGGAAUCGCUAGUAAUCGCAGGUCAGCAUACUGCGGUGAAUACGUUCCCGGGCCUUGUA
rnacentral:rRNA from 1 species